UACGUAGGGUCCGAGCGUUGUCCGGAAUUAUUGGGCGUAAAGGGCUCGUAGGCGGUUCGUCACGUCGGGAGUGAAAACUCGGAGCUUAACUCCGAGCCUGCUUCCGAUACGGGCAGACUAGAGGUAGGCAGGGGAGAGCGGAACUCCUGGUGUAGCGGUGGAAUGCGCAGAUAUCAGGAAGAACACCGGUGGCGAAGGCGGCUCGCUGGGCAGUAACUGACGCUGAGGAGCGAAAGCGUGGGGAGCGAACAGG
rnacentral:rRNA from 1 species